AUCUUUGUUGUAUUUAGUAUGUUCUUGAUAAUUUUUGGAAAUCUAAGGGAAUAGAUAAUUUUCAUAUCUGGUCAUACUCAUAACUACAGCAGGUCUUCAAAGUGAAUAGCCUUUAGUUGAUAGAAUAAUGUAAAUAAGAAAAUUUGGAAAAAUAGAUUUAUAACUUUAGAAAAGAAUUGGCUCUAAGGGUUGGGUAUGUUGGGUCUUAGCUAGAAGCUCUGGGACCUAGCUAAGACUACUUCAGGACAAUCUCUGAGUAAACCUCUCUAGGACUUGAAUGUAGAUAGCUUUAGCUGUUCUUUAUAGAAUAUCUAGUACAUGCUUAACAACUGACUUAGAGCUAGUACAGAUAAGGGAAAUCUGACUGUCUAAUUAAAACAUAGCAUUGUAAUAGCCAGAAAGUAGUAUUAAUGCAAUAUGAUUUCUGUCCAGUGCUCUGAAUGUCAAAGUGAAGAAGCAUGGAUAAACAGUAGGAUUAACUAUGACUUUCUUAAGGUAGCCAAAUAUCUUGUUAUCUAAUUAGUAAUAUGUAUGAAUGGAUUAAUAAGAUUCCUACUAUCCCUAUCUACUAUCUAGUAAAACUAUAGCCAAGAAAAUAGGCUUGGCAGUAUUAGUAAAGAAAAAAGACCCUAUUGAGCUUGACUUUAGUUUAAUAUUGUGAAAAGACAUAGAGGGUGUAAAAUAAGUGGGAGCUCUAAUGUUGUUGAAAUACUACUACUUUUAUUGUCUUUUUACUUAUUCAAUAAGGUGGAGCUAGAAUUAACAGUUUUACCUUUUGGCUUCAAGAUCUUUUGAUAGACUAAUCUAGAUUAAAGAUAUUUUCAGGUGGAAAGUUUAGCUGGGGUAGUAUAUCUAUUAAAAGAUAACAUAGAUGUUCUAAGAGACACUCAUCAAGAACAGAAAUCUUGAGUAGAAUAAAAGAAUACAAGUCCCCUUGAUUUUGAUUUUUAGUGUAAAUACAAACUAUAAAAGUGUAGUCUAUUGAUUUUUUAAUCUCUUGGAAUUUGAGGCUAGAGGUGUCAGAAAAGUUACUACAGAGAUAACUAACUUGUGGUAGCCAAGCAUUCAUAGUAAUAUUACUUUUUGAUCCUUUGAUGUUGGCUCUUCCUAUUAUAUCAAAGUAAAAUUUGGUAAGUAUUGAAUUGUUCAUCAACUAAUAGAAAAUAUGAGCUAAGUUUAGACUAUUGUGAGAUAGGUUAGUUUUACCUUACUAAUGGAGUGUUAUUAAAAUAGUAAUUGAACUUAGUACAAGAGGAACUAUUCAUUCAAAUAUUUGAUAUUUAUAUCUGUCUGAUUAGGCAAUGACAUAAAGCUAUUAUCUACUGGAUCAUGGCUAAAUAUCUCUAAGUCAGAAUCCAUACUAGAAAUAAUGAUAUUAGUCCUAUAUAUAUGAUUUAAGUUGAGAUAAAGCUUUCGCUUAUAUACCAAAUUAGAUAGACUGGGUUGCUAUAGUAGAAAUACUAUGGUGGCUUGUUUAUGAAUUACAAUCAUAAUAUGGGCAGGAGUGAAUUCUUUGCAGACAACUUAAAUGGAAAUGGAAUACUGUAAGUGGUAGAGUAGUCUUGUUAUUAUGAUUUGCUAAGGUUAAGCUCUUGUUCUAUAAAUUUGUUUGAUUUUG
rnacentral:rRNA from 1 species